rnacentral:misc_RNA from 1 species
UUAACUUAUUUGUUUGUUACUCAGAGAUUCCAUAUAAUACAUGAGAGUUUCGUACCUCCGGCGGGCGCCCCACCACCUCCGGGAGACCCGGUGGCGGAGGGCUGCGGCGCCCCGGGGGGCAGCCGCGCCGCCGAAGCAACUUGGACGAGUUCGCGAUGGUUUUAAGUAGCCUUUCGGCUUCUUGUAAUGAUCCCUCCGCUGGUUCACCAACGGAGA